UUUAAAAAGUAAAUAAUCCCCAAGUGUGCAAGAAGUAAAAGUUGUUGCAGAAGGAAGGCAAUUUAAUGAGAGCUGGGAAAGCGAAUGCAUGUUUGUGCUUAAUGGAGACAAGCUGGUAUGUCUUCUUUGCAACGAGACAGCGGCAGUGUUCAAGGAAUACAAUUUACGUGGGCACUUAGACACCAAGCACGGAGCUAAGUAUGCUAACCUUAGCCACCGAGAAAAACAACAAAAGAUCCAAGAAUUAAAAAGCAGCCUGCAGUCUCAGCAGAACAUUUUCAAGUGGUGUGAAGGCAGACUCAUCGGUCGCCAUGCAUGGGACGACAAGUGAGAGGGACAUCUUCAGUGAAGUGGAGUCUGACACUUGACCUGAUGAGGCUUGGCUUGGAUGGCUACAUGAAGCUUUGCAGGAUGAGUUGGCUGCAGAUGGUGGUACCAGUGGUUCUGGUGGAGCUCUGGUAGAGUGUUCUGCUGUGGAGGGACCAGAACUGCAGUGUCCUUGAUUAGAAUAACAGUUUGAGGGCAUUUACAAAAAACAACCAGGCCAUCAACAUUUUCAGACGACUCUUACCCCUCCAAUGGACUGCUCACCCCACUGCCAUCUGAAAAAAAGGCUCAUUGGAAUAUAUGUCAGAACCACAAGACUGUCUAACAGCUUUCUCCUCAGAGUGGAUUUGAUGGAGCUCAGGAGUCCCUGACGACAACCAGGGUAAUUUUACAAUUAUUCCAAGUGUGAGGUGUUGAAGAGUACAGACAACUGUUACAGUUUGACCACUUAAGUCACUUGCUCAAAUCAGAGAAUGAUCACACAGCAUAUCAGUGUUGACGUUCCUAUGUGACUCCUAUGAGGAUAUUCUCAGGCACAUUAAAUAAAUGUGACACACAGAUGCACAC